rnacentral:rRNA from 1 species
GUCCACGCCCUAAACGAUGGGCACUAGGUGUGGGAGGUAUCGACCCCUCCCGUGCCGCAGCUAACGCAUUAAGUGCCCCGCCUGGGGAGUACGGUCGCAAAGACUAAAACUCAAAGGAAUUGACGGGGGCCCGCACAAGCGGUGGAGCAUGUGGUUUAAUUCGACGCAACGCGAAGACCUUACCUGGGCUUGACAUCCCUGGAACCCCUAUGAAAGUAGGGGGUGCCUCGAAAGAGGAGCCAGGAGACAGGUGCUGCAUGGCUGUCGU